UCACCUUAAACCAUGGUGCGUGUUCAAGUGUGCAUUUUUACCGUAAACAAAAUAGAUUCACGUGUUGCUACUCCACAUGCCCUUGCUGUCACAAAACUAGAAGUUUUGAGAGUACAGAAAUGGUUGCUCAGAGGGUGUGAAAGGCAUGAUUCUUCUACCUCUCUCCUGUUUUGAUGAGAAAGAGGAGCUCCUACAUUAUGUAGAAGAGACAAGCCUGGCAAAGGAUGUGGAGUUAGAAAACCUGCCUGUGACGCCUUGCAUUAUUGUGUGUGUGGACCCCCCUGCUAUGCUGCUGUCCGAUUCAUGCUAGCUGUGGACCGCAAGAUUGUGAAUGAUGACAUCACUUCCUUCAUCUCUGCUGUUUGCCUAAUGUUCGGCAGUUAUUACUGCUCCAACAUUAACUACCCUACUGAACUGGCGUCAGUGCUUGAAUUCCUGCAAAGGUGUUUUUUCAUCAUCAAUCCGGAGAAAGGGACUAAAGGAGGUGGAAAAGAAAAACAAAAAGCUACUCCCAGUUAACCCAAGAGUCUUCACCCUAAUCGCUGACCUUUCUGAUCAUGAAUGGCGAGAGACUUUGUAAAGGUGGCCUGCAGACUGUUUCCAAGUUUAUAAUCUCUUAAAGGGUUAUUUCAGGCUUGAAUCAAAUUUUCCCCAUGUUUUACUUACCCUCAAGGCAUCCUAAG